UACGGGCAGACUAGAGUGCGGUAGGGGAGAAUGGAAUUCCUGGUGUAGCGGUGGAAUGCGCAGAUAUCAGGAGGAACACCGAUGGCGAAGGCAGUUCUCUGGGCCGUAACUGACGCUGAGGAGCGAAAGCGUGGGGAGCGAACAGGAUUAGAUACCCUGGUAGUCCACGCCGUAAACGUUGGGCGCUAGAUGUGGGGACCAUUCCACGGUUUCCGUGUCGCAGCUAACGCAUUAAGCGCCCCGCCUGGGGAGUACGGCCGCAAGGCUAAAACUCAAAGGAAUUGACGGGGGCCCGCACAAGCGGCGGAGCAUGCGGAUUAAUUCGAUGCAACGCGAAGAACCUUACCAAGGCUUGACAUACACGAGAACGCCCUAGAAAUAGGGAACUCUUUGGACACUCGUGAACAGGUGGUGCAUGGUUGUCGUCAGCUCGUGUCGUGAGAUGUUGGGUUAAGUCCCGCAACGAGCGCAACCCUCGUUCUAUGUUGCCAGCGCGUAAUGGCGGGAACUCAUAGGAGACUGCCGGGGUCAACUCGGAGGAAGGUGGGGAUGACGUCAAAUCAUCAUGCCCCUUAUGUCUUGGGCUUCACGCAUGCUACAAUGGCCGGUACAAAGGGCUGCAAUACCGUAAGGUGGAGCGAAUCCCAAAAAGCCGGUCUCAGUUCGGAUUGAGGUCUGCAACUCGACCUCAUGAAGUCGGAGUCGCUAGUAAUCGCAGAUCAGCAACGCUGCGGUGAAUACGUUCCCGGGCCUUGUACACACCGCCCGUCAAGUCAUGAAAGUCGGUAACACCCGAAGCCGGUGGCCCAACCC
rnacentral:rRNA from 1 species